UACGGAGGGUGCAAGCGUUAUCCGGAUUCACUGGGUUUAAAGGGUGCGUAGGUGGCGCCGUAAGUCGGGUGUGAAAUUUCGGAGCUUAACUCCGAAACUGCAUUCGAUACUGCGGUGCUUGAGGACUGGAGAGGAGACUGGAAUUCAUGGUGUAGCAGUGAAAUGCGUAGAGAUCAUGAGGAAGACCAGUGGCGAAGGCGGGUCUCGUGGACAGUUCCUGACACUGAGGCACGAAGGCCAGGGGAGCAAACGGG
rnacentral:rRNA from 1 species